UACAAGUGAACUCGGACACGCCAUAGGGGACCCCAGGAAGCGUUGUCUUUUCUUUUUAACAGUUCGACUUACCCUGGAAUCAGAUCAUCUGGAGAUAGGGUUUUCGAACUGGAAUAGCACCUUGUCUAACAGGGUGUCUGGAGUGUUCUCGCUGGCCCUUGAAAAUCCGAGGGAUAGAUUUAUUCGCACUAGGUUCUAUCCAUAAAUCUAUCUAAU
rfam:Perkinsus marinus ATCC 50983 gcontig_1104296512524, whole genome shotgun sequence.